UAGGGAUCAUGAUUGAUACGCUAGGCGGCAGGCCUAACACGAUGCCUAAGUCGAGCGACGUAGAGAGAAGCUUGCUUCUCUUGAGAGCGGCGGACGGGUGAGUAAUGCCUAGGAAUCUGCCUGGUAGUGGGGGAUAACGCUCGGAAACGGACGCUAAUACCGCAUACGUCCUACGGGAGAAAGCAGGGGACCUUCGGGCCUUGCGCUAUCAGAUGAGCCUAGGUCGGAUUAGCUAGUUGGUGAGGUAAUGGCUCACCAAGGCGACGAUCCGUAACUGGUCUGAGAGGAUGAUCAGUCACACUGGAACUGAGACACGGUCCAGACUCCUACGGGAGGCAGCAGUGGGGAAUAUUGGACAAUGGGCGAAAGCCUGAUCCAGCCAUGCCGCGUGUGUGAAGAAGGUCUUCGGAUUGUAAAGCACUUUAAGUUGGGAGGAAGGGCAUUAACCUAAUACGUUGGUGUCUUGACGUUACCGGCAGAAUAAGCACCGGCUAACUCUGUGCCAGCAGCCGCGGUAAUACAGAGGGUGCAAGCGUUAAUCGGAAUUACUGGGCGUAAAGCGCGCGUAGGUGGUUCGUUAAGUUGGAUGUGAAAUCCCCGGGCUCAACCUGGGAACUGCAUUCAAAACUGACGAGCUAGAGUAUGGUAGAGGGUGGUGGAAUUUCCUGUGUAGCGGUGAAAUGCGUAGAUAUAGGAAGGAACACCAGUGGCGAAGGCGACCACCUGGACUGAUACUGACACUGAGGUGCGAAAGCGUGGGGAGCAAACAGGAUUAGAUACCCUGGUAGUCCACGCCGUAAACGAUGUCAACUAGCCGUUGGGAGCCUUGAGCUCUUAGUGGCGCAGCUACACGCAUUACACUGGGAACCGCCCUGGGGAGUAACGAUGCGACGCAAGGUUAC
rnacentral:rRNA from 1 species